rnacentral:lncRNA from 1 species
AAUUUCUAUUUUUUUUUAAUGCAAUCUUUUAAUUCUUCUUUGAUGCAAUACAUUAAAUCCUCCUUUAUGCAAUUUGUGUAGGCUUCAAUCUCCCUAAGCACUAUUUUCAUCCAUUUUAAUUUAUGCAAAAAUUCUCCUUUGAAUAGUUAAACAUUUCAUGAAUUCAUAAAUACUCUUUGAUUUCUAAGUACUUGUCUUUUUA